UACGUAGGGUGCAAGCGUUGUCCGGAAUUAUUGGGCGUAAAGAGCUCGUAGGCGGUCUGUCGCGUCUGCUGUGAAAAUCCAGGGCUCAACCCUGGACCUGCAGUGGGUACGGGCAGACUAGAGUGCGGUAGGGGAGAUCGGAAUUCCUGGUGUAGCGGUGAAAUGCGCAGAUAUCAGGAGGAACACCGGUGGCGAAGGCGGCCAUCUGGACGGAUACUGACGCUGAGGAGCGAAAGCGUGGGGAGCGAACAGG
rnacentral:rRNA from 1 species